ACGGAUAACAUACCGAAAGGUAUGCUAAUACGGGAUAAUAUAUUUGAGAGGCAUCUCUUAAAUAUCAAAGGUGAGCCAGUACAGGAUGGACCCGCGUCUGAUUAGCUAGUUGGUAAGGUAACGGCUUACCAAGGCGACGAUCAGUAGCCGACCUGAGAGGGCGAUCGGCCACAUUGGAACUGAGACACGGUCCAAACUCCUACGGGAGGCAGCAGUGGGGAAUAUUGCACAAUGGGCGAAAGCCUGAUGCAGCAACGCCGCGUGAGUGAUGAAGGCCUUCGGGUCGUAAAACUCUGUCCUCAAGGAAGAUAAUGACGGUACUUGAGGAGGAAGCCCCGGCUAACUACGUGCCAGCAGCCGCGGUAAUACGUAGGGGGCUAGCGUUAUCCGGAUUUACUGGGCGUAAAGGGUGCGUAGGCGGUCUUUCAAGUCAGGAGUGAAAGGCUACGGCUCAACCGUAGUAAGCUCUUGAAACUGGGAGACUUGAGUGCAGGAGAGGAGAGUGGAAUUCCUAGUGUAGCGGUGAAAUGCGUAGAUAUUAGGAGGAACACCAGUUGCGAAGGCGGCUCUCUGGACUGUAACUGACGCUGAGGCACGAAAGCGUGGGGAGCAAACAGGAUUAGAUACCCUGGUAGUCCACGCUGUAAACGAUGAAUACGAGGUGUCGGGGGUUACCCCCCUCGGUGCCGCAG
rnacentral:rRNA from 1 species